GACGAACGCUGGCGGCGUGCCUAAUACAUGCAAGUCGAACGCAGUGGGGACGGGGGAGUAACACGUGGGUAACCUCCAAUCAGAGGGGAUAACACUUGGACACAGGUGCUAAACCGAUACUGAUGGAUGGACCCGCGGUGCAUUAGCUAGUUGGUGAGGUAACGGCGCACCAAGGCCACGAUGCAUAGCCGGCCUGAGAGGGUGAUCAGCCACACUGGGACUGAGACACGGCCCAGACUCCUACGGGAGGCAGCAGUAGGGAAUCUUGGGCAAUGGACGAAAGUCUGACCGAGCAACGCCGCGUGUGUGAAGAAGGUUUUCGGAUCGUAAAACUCUUUUGUCAGAGAAGCGGUAUCUAAAGAGAAAGCCACGGCUAACUACGUGCCAGCAGCCGCGGUAAUAC
rnacentral:rRNA from 1 species